GACGAACGCUGGCGGCGUGCCUAACACAUGCAAGUCAAGGAGAAUUCCCGACUUGUCGGGAUAGUAAACUGGCGAACGGGUGAGUAACACGUAGGUAAUCUGCCCUCGGGAUCGGGAUAACCUCGCGAAAGUGGGGAUAAUACCGAAUAAAGUCUCGGUAUAAUUUGUCGAGAUGAAAGAUGGGGAUCUUCGGACCUAUUACCUGAGGAUGAGCCUGCGCCUGAUUAGCUAGUUGGUAGGGUAAAUGCCUACCAAGGCAACGAUCAGUAGCUGGUCUGAGAGGAUGAUCAGCCACAUUGGGACUGAGAUACGGCCCAGACUCCUACGGGAGGCAGCAGUGAGGAAUUUUGCGCAAUGGGCGAAAGCCUGACGCAGCAACGCCGCGUGACUGAUUAAGCUCUGAGGAGUGUAAAAGUCUGUCGUAGAGGAAGAAACUAUCCGAUAAGAAUAUUGUCGGAUACUGACGGUACUCUAUGAGAAAGCUCCGG
rnacentral:rRNA from 1 species